rnacentral:rRNA from 1 species
CUAGCCGUAAACGAUGUAUACUUGGUGUAGUCAGACUCAACCCUGACUGUGCCGGAGCUAACGCGUUAAGUAUACCGCCUGGGGAGUACGCUCGCAAGGGUGAAACUCAAAAGAAUUGACGGGGACCCGCACAAGCAGUGGAGCAUGUGGUUUAAUUCGAUGCAACGCGAAGAACCUUACCUAGGCUUGACAUGCAGUGGACCGCUUCAGAAAUGGAGCUUUCCUUCGGGACCGCUGCACAGGUGC